ACCUGUGGCUGGGGGUGAAAGGCCAAUCAAACCGGGAGAUAGCUGGUUCUCCCCGAAAGCUAUUUAGGUAGCGCCUCGUGAACUCAUCUCCGGGGGUAGAGCACUGUUUCGGCUAGGGGGCCAUCCCGGCUUACCAACCCGAUGCAAACUGCGAAUACCGGAGAAUGUUAUCACGGGAGACACACGGCGGGUGCUAACGUCCGUCGUGAAGAGGGAAACAACCCAGACCGCCAGCUAAGGUCCCAAAGUCAUGGUUAAGUGGGAAACGAUGUGGGAAGGCUCAGACAGCCAGGAUGUUGGCUUAGAAGCAGCCAUCAUUUAAAGAAAGCGUAAUAGCUCACUGGUCGAGUCGGCCUGCGCGGAAGAUGUAACGGGGCUAAACCAUGAACCGAAGCUGCGGCAGCGAACGUAUCACUUAAAGCGAUUCAGCGUCUUACGAUUGACGGCGCGAAGCGACGUCAAAGC
rnacentral:rRNA from 1 species